CGACCGGCGCACGGGUGAGUAACACGUAUCCAACCUGCCGUCUACUCUUGGCCAGCCUUCUGAAAGGAAGAUUAAUCCAGGAUGGGAUCAUGAGUUCACAUGUCCGCAUGAUUAAAGGUAUUUCCGGUAAACGAUGGGGAUGCGUUCCAUUAGAUAGUAGGCGGGGUAACGGCCCACCUAGUCAACGAUGGAUAGGGGUUCUGAGAGGAAGGUCCCCCACAUUGGAACUGAGACACGGUCCAA
rnacentral:rRNA from 1 species